rfam:Aedes aegypti strain Liverpool supercont1.350 genomic scaffold, whole genome shotgun sequence.
UGCCCAGCAACUCCUAUCCCUACCUCCUCGCGGUACUGGCCGGGGUACGAGUAACCUUAGGGAAGAUCGGGUAACCAACCCCCGGUGGGAACUUUGGUCGUAUGCUGACAGGGAGGG